rnacentral:rRNA from 1 species
AGGACGAACGCUGGCGGCGUGCUUAACACAUGCAAGUCGAGCGGAAAGGCCCUUCGGGGUACUCGAGCGGCGAACGGGUGAGUAACACGUGAGUAAUCUGCCCCUAGCUCUGGGAUAGCUCCGGGAAACCGGGAUUAAUACCGGAUACAACCACUUUAGACAUCUUUUGUGGUGGAAAGAAUUUUGGCUAGGGAUGAACUCGCGGCCUAUCAGCUUGUUGGUGAGGUAACGGCUCACCAAGGCGACGACGGGUAGCCGGCCUGAGAGGGCGACCGGCCACACUGGGACUGAGACACGGCCCAGACUCCUACGGGAGGCAGCAGUGGGGAAUAUUGCGCAAUGGGCGAAAGCCUGAUCCAGCAAUGCCGCGUGAGUGAAGAAGGUCUUAGGAUUGUAAAGCUCUUUCGGUGGGGACGAUGAUGACGGUACCCACAGAAGAAGCCCCGGCUAACUUCGCGCCAGCAGCCGC